rnacentral:rRNA from 1 species
GCGAGGACCAUCUCGUAAGGCUAAAUACUGACUGGUAACCGAUAGUGAACGAGUACAGUGAUGGAAAGGCGAAAAGAACAGUGAGAAGCUGAGUGAAAUAGAACCUGAAACCGUUUGCUUACAAUCAGUCAGAGCACUAUUAAUAGUGUGAUGGCGUGCCUGUUGAAGAAUGAGCCGGCGAGUUAUCUUAUUUAGCGAGGUUAAGGGGUUUAUACCCGGAGCCAUAGCGAAAGCGAGUCUGAAUAGGGCGUUAAGUUAAAUGAGAUAGACCCGAACCUUGGUGAUCUAACCAUGACCAGAAUGAAGCGUGGGUAACACUACGUGGAGGUUCGAACCGACUGAUGUUGAAAAAUCAGCGGAUGAGUUGUGGUUAGGGGUGAAAUGCCAAUCGAACCAAGAGCUAGCUGGUUCUCCCCGAAAUGCGUUUAGGCACAGCGUCAGAUUUAUCUUGCAGGAGGUAGAGCACUAGUUUGGUGCGGGCCGAGGAACUCGGUACCAAAUCAUGUUAAACUCCGAAUGCCUGCAAUGUUACUGUCUGGCAGUGAGGCUAUGAGUGAUAAGAUCCAUGGCCAAGAGGGAAACAGCCCAGAACGCCAGUUAAGGUCCCUAAUAUAUGCUAAGUGAUUAAGGAGGUAGAAUUACUCUGACAACCAGGAGGUUGGCUUAGAAGCAGCCAUUCCUUGAAAGAGUGCGUAAUAGCUCACUGGUCAAGUGAUUCCGCGCCGAAAAUAUAGCGGGGCUAAGCAUAUAACCGAAACUGCGUCAUAUAACUUGUUAUAUGGGUAGGGGAGCGUUCUGUUGUAGGUUGAAGCUAGAUCGAAAGGACUAGUGGACGAAGCAGAAGUGAGAAUGUCGGCAUAAGUAGCGAAAACAUUGGUGAGAAUCCAAUGCACCGAAAACCUAAGGUUUCCCACGGCAGGCUCGUCCGCGUGGGGUUAGUCGGAACCUAAGCUCAGGCUGAAAAGCGUAGGCGAUGGACAACAGGUUGAUAUUCCUGUACUGAUUAUUAUUCGUUAUCAGAGGCGGAGGGACGCAGGAGGAUAAACAUGCAGACGAUCGGAUGUGUCUGUUUAAGCGUGUAGCCAGUUCCGGUAGGAAAAUCCGCCGGGGCGUUAUAAAGUGAGGCGUUAUGAGGAGGAGCUACGGCUUCCGAAGAUGUUGAUUCCACACUGCCAAGAAAAUCUUCGCUUUCGAGAAUAAUGGUUAUCCGUACCAUAAACCGCCACAGGUAGGUUGGUAGAAUAUACUAAGGUGCGCGAGACAACUCUCGCUAAGGAACUCGGCAAAAUUACCUCGUAACUUCGGGAGAAGAGGUACCCUGGUAGCGUGUAGCGAUUUACUCGUGAAGCGUGAUAGGGUCGCAGCGAAUCGAUCCAGGCGACUGUUUACCAAAAACACAGGUCUCUGCUAAGUCGUAAGACGAUGUAUAGGGGCUGACGCCUGCCCGGUGUCGGAAGGUUACGCGGAAGGGUUAGUCGUAAGACGAAGCUCCGAAGCUAAGCCCCGAUGAACGGCGGCCGUAACUAUAACGGUCCUAAGGUAGCGAAAUUCCUUGUCAGGUA